AACCGGAUUAGAUACCCUGGUAGUCCACGCCGUAAACGGUGGGCGCUAGGUGUGGGUUCCUUCCACGGGAUCUGUGCCGUAGCUAACGCAUUAAGCGCCCCGCCUGGGGAGUACGGCCGCAAGGCUAAAACUCAAAGGAAUUGACGUGGGCCCGCACAAGCGGCGGAGCAUGUGGAUUAAUUCGAUGCAACGCGAAGAACCUUACCUGGGUUUGACAUACACCGGAAAACCGUAGAGAUACGGUCCCCCUUGUGGUCGGUGUACAGGUGGUGCAUGGCUGUCGUCAGCUCGUGUCGUGAGAUGUUGGGUUAAGUCCCGCAACGAGCGCAACCCUUGUCUUAUGUUGCCAGCACGUAAUGGUGGGGACUCGUAAGAGACUGCCGGGGUCAACUCGGAGGAAGGUGGGGACGACGUCAAGUCAUCAUGCCCCUUAUGUCCAGGGCUUCACACAUGCUACAAUGGCCAGUACAGAGGGCUGCGAGACCGUGAGGUGGAGCGAAUCCCUUAAAGCUGGUCUCAGUUCGGAUCGGGGUCUGCAACUCGACCCCGUGAAGUUCGGA
rnacentral:rRNA from 1 species